ACAAGCUGCAAGGGGAAGAUCCUGCCUCUCUCUUCUCUUGCAUGGCCCCACUCAUCCCUUGCACCAACUUGGGUACUUGCAGAGCAGUUUCUUGAGCUGAAUCAACUUGCUAAAAUGGCAGCUCCAUGGGUUGCUGGGGUGGUUUUCUGGUGAGCGAAGGAGCUGGCACAAGACUUGGCACAAGAUUAAUUGACUAACGUAGGGAGAUAGGAAAGCGUAGCAGGGCCUCUGCUUGCUGGCAGAGGAGGCUGGAGAAGCAAGCCUGACCAAGGAGAGAGCAGGCUGCUGGAGGCAAGCAGGAGGUGCAGAGUCAUCGGAGCUGUUCAGGGUGGUAAAAGAGGUGAAGACCAUUCGCUCUCGUCCAGGCAGACCUCCUUCACACUUCCCACCUCCUUCUCCCAUGGAGAAGAGAGCAAGCCCCAAGCUUUGGCUGCGUCUAGGAGGAUGGGAAGUCUGGUAGACAUCCACUGAGAUGGGGGACGUCAAGGAUGUAGGGAUGCCAUGGACUCCUUCCAAAGGAGAAGAAAGCCAAUGCAUGUUCCCCCAGGGAAUCUCAUGCUUUGCAUCCAGAUGUGGUCUCUGGAGCAGUUCUGCGAGAAGUAUCAUGGAUGCUUGGAGGGAGUUGGGUCGUGGGUUUCUUACUGAGAAUCAAAGGAAGCCUCAUUCAUUGGUUUUCUCCAAUUUCUUUCUUUGUCCAUUCAUUUUCUUUUAAUGUUCCUCUUCUUUCUUUGGGUAUAAUUUGUUCAUUUCAGCUGAGGGAAAUUGGACUCAUGAUUUCAAAAACUUUUUUUUUGUUUGUUUUGUUUUGUUUCAAAAGUUGUUUUUACUUCAGAUAUAGAAUUAAAAUCAAACCUUCUGAAAUCCUCCACAAGAAGAAAUUAUUUUUCUCUCUUCAGUCCUGUGACAAUUCUCAGUUUGGGGACAGUCUGAGGGAAGACUAGAUGGGACCCAAGACCCCCUCUGCUUCAGACACAUGUGGUGGCUUCUGAAGGUUAACUUGGGUCUGACUCCAUGUGAAAUUCAGGAACACCAUUGCUGCUGUAAUUUCUGCACCUGGGAGGCCCUGGGUGCCCAGAACCCUGCCAAGCUAACAGACGAGGACAGUGGCCAAGAGUUGAACCUUGCCUGGCAAGUGCAGCUCCAUCAGGAGCACACUUUGCUGCUGAUGAAGUCCUCCUGAAACUCAGUUGCCUCUGUGGCACACUUUUAUCUAGGUGAAUCAGCAACUUCAGGGGCAAUAGAUGUUUUGUCAUGAUCAGACAUUAAUUAAUUUCUCAUUUGCACAAGACCGGAGGCAGUGAAAACCCUGGACCCAGCAGAGGACUUGCUUUCUGUACUACUUGGUAGCAAUGCUAUGCACUGAGCAUGGAUCCCCAGGCUCUGGGAGGGUGGCAGGUCCCCAGGGGGAUUGCUGCAGGUGGGCUAUGCAAAAAAGCCCUCAUGCAUUAUUUCAGACUAUGGUUGUCCUCAGAGAGUUGAUGACAAGGAAGUAGGCUGUGUUGCCAUUGUGGUUUGAAGCCAGUAUUUGCUAAAACCUGAUGCAAAGCCUGGUAGAGUUAGGCUGAAGGUGUAAGACCUCGGUGGCUUUCACUCAGGUAAAGGUUUUCUUUUGCUUAGGUAAUUCCUGUAUAUCUCUUAAAAGAUCAUUGACAGAGAUGAACAUCCACCUGUUAAAAGAAACUUAACGUUUAACCAGCAGAAAAAUAAAGGUGGAACCUCCAUUCUACCCUUUUUGUAAAGCAUCUCUGAAAAAAAAAAAAAUGUUUAGGAGGUGGGUGGAAUACAUAAGAGAUGUAGUGGAGUUGUAGAGAGUGUAUUUUUAUUCCUGUGUUCUUGCACUAUUUAAUUUGUUUUAGACCUUCUGCGUUUAUGGAUGUUGAGAGUUUGAAAGGGAAGAAGUAUGGUCAGUGCCCUGGGGACUAAUCCAAAAU